GCGCACAUAGCUCAACGGAAGAGCGCUCUCCCAAGUUGGGAAAGAGGUUGCAGGUUCAAUUCCUGUCGUGCGUG
rnacentral:tRNA from 2 species